rnacentral:lncRNA from 1 species
GUUAAUUUCAAAAAUUGGUUGAUGAUCCAGAUCGCUUUCGGUUACUGAUUUCUACUUUAAAUCAGCUCUGAGUAUAGAAUAUAUUGUGUAUGUCAGUCUUUUUGAAUGUGUUUUGUGGCCCAAAAUAUAGUCUAACUUGUUGAAUGUUCCGUUUGUACCUGGAAACAAUAUGUCGCGGGCUGUUGUUGACAGCAUGUUCUACAAAUGUCAAUAAGCAAGUUGCUUCAUACUGUUCAUGUCUGCUAUGUUGCUGAUCUUAUUUACUAACUCCACCAAUUUCUGAGAUAGGAAUGUUGGAGUGCAACUAUCUAUUUGGGUUGAUUUAUUUCUUUUCAGCUCUAAUGGUUAUUACUGUAUAUAUUUUGAACUUUUGCUGUUAGGAACAUGCACCUUUAAGAUUAUUAUCUCUUCUUCAUGAAUUGACCUUUAAUUAGCAUGAAAUGUCCCCCUUUAUCUCAGGUAAUAUUCUGUUCUGACUCUGAUUUUACUACAUUUAAUAGAACCAUUCUAGUUUUCUUUGACAUUUACCUGGUUUGCAUGAAUGCAUCUUUCCCCAACGUUUCACUUGUAGCCUAUUUAUGUCUUUUUGCUCAGAGAAUGUUUCUUGCAGACAGUGCAUCGUUGGGUCUGGCUUUCUUAUUCGGUCUAAUAAUCUGCCUUUUGAUUGGGGUGUUUCAAUUAUUUAGAUUUAAUGCUAUGAUUGAC